UUCAAGUGAAACAUAAGUUUUCGUUUUCUACUUUGAUCAUCCGUCUUAUUUGUUUUUUUAUAAUUACUAUUUUUAUAUCAUGAGAUAAUAAAACAUGAAUUGUACUUUGUACGUGACUUAUGUUUUUAAAUUUUUUUAAAAAAAUUUCAAAUAAGACGGACGAUCAAAAUUGUUCAUGGAAAAUGAUGGCUGCAUUUAAA
rfam:Oryza glumipatula chromosome 10, whole genome shotgun sequence.